UUCCUGCCUUUCCUCAGGGAAAGAAUCUUCGUCUUCAUUCCGGUAGAAUCUCUCACAGAAACAUUUGCAGGGUAUUUCUUUCUUUUGAUAGUUUCUCUUCCCUCAUUUACUUGUAUUCAAAAUCAGCUCAAGUCCUAUCUCAUACAAACUUAAUCUUGAAUACUGUAAUACAUAUUGAUUAUAUUUUUUUCUCUGACUUCUUCCACACAAAAGUUUAGCACUGAAUCAAAAUAUGUUUUCAGAUACCUGUUUUGUCUUGCCAAUAAUAAUUGUGCAAGUGCUCUGCAGUUUGGGAUUUUUAACACCCUUUACAUUUAUUUGUAUUUCCAAAGCACUGUUAAUUUUUACUGACAGAAGAGCAUGUGUUUUAUUCUUCAAAACAAAUACACACUUUUUCCAGAAGAGUGUGAGUGCAGUUAUAGCCAAAUUCCUACCACCUUCUGCAGCAUAGUUUAAACCUUCUGUGAUCAGAACUUUUUUCCAGCAAAAUAAGAUUGAUCAGAGAACCUGGAAGAAGACUUGUUUUAAUCAGAGUUUUUCUCUUUCAAACUUGAAUGAACAGAAUUCAAAUUCCACACACUUUCUCUUGAAUCAGCACAUGGACAGUAAAAAUCAUCAAAAGAAUUUAGAAUAUGUUAAAUUCAACCAAGAGCAAAUUACUAAGUGAAAUUACUAAGUGAAACACCACUUAGUGAUAGUGAAAUAUCAACCAAGAACAAAACACUAAGCAAAGUAGAAAAUCACAGUAAGAGAGACAAGGAUAGAAAAGGGCAGGUAAAAUUAACGAAAUGGUAGAACAGGGCUACGGUGUGAAUAUGCGAGAAGACUUCUCCACCUUGUUGGGGCUCGUGAAUUUACAACACGUUAGACUGGGGGGAUUAAAUCCAGAACAGUCCCUGACUUGUAUAGGGGUGAAAAAUAAUACCUCAUUCUCUCCUUGCAAAGAAGUAUGCUUAUGGAGCUAGUUUCUCCUUAGCGGCCACUUUUUUCUAUUUAGCACGAAUGUGCCAUUGGAGUCAGCACCUGCCCUGAGUUAGGGCCUCUUCUCUCUUACAUCUGCUCUUUUUGUGCAGAGAGUAUGUGGCUGUGCUGUGCUGUGGAUAAACUGCUGGCACAGAGGUACAUAGAUGUCUGGUUGGUGCUGGCGGACCCCAGAAUCAGGGAGAAGCGCUCCUUCUUCUCUCUAGAGACACUGUACCCCUCAGGAAUAUCUCCUUUUUCGUUCAGUUUAACAUCAUAUGAGAAAUAGAUCAGCCGUAGCCCCAGACCUGGGUCUUGUCGAUACCAGAACAUUCUUUCAUGGUCCAUAUCCUGGACACAUUCCAGAAAAACUUUCUCUCCUGUCCUUUUGAUUAGAUAUCUUGAGCUCUGGGUUACUUUCACAUCCACGAGGCCUGUGAGAGGCAGAAAGCAAGGGUGAAAAAAACAGGCCACCAGGGAACCUGAGGAGAGAAAAACUUUGUAUACAAGACCUCGAAAUAGUAGGCCAGGAGUUGCCACCAACUCCCCAGACCCAACGACUCCCAGGACUCACCUACAGCCAGGAAACAAAAGGCCACAUAACAGAGGAGCCUGGUUCCCAUGGCUGCUUUGAAGAAAUAAUAGGUCUUCUCCCAGGGCCAGGCUGUGGGUUGACGGUUUGUGAUGUCAUUGUCCCAGCCCACACUCAUAAUCCCUCAGCCAUUGUCUAGACUAGAAAGGGUCUAGAGGUGCUAGAGAGUGAAGGGCAUCCCUUGUGCUCACGGAAGUGUCACUGUAUGUGUGUGCACAUAUAGAAAAGAGUUGACACAGUGGGCCUGAAACUGCCAUCCUUAGAAGGGCCUGCUUGCAUAGUUGGCUCUUGAUUUGCAUCUGCGAACUUAAAUUUUGGGAGUUUUCCCACCAUCAGUAACUGGUACGCAUGGCUUAGUGUGCCUAGACUGCUUGCACAAACCAUGUGGGUUAGGCUGAACACCUGCUUUACUGCAAGUCUGGAAUUCUGCUGCAUGAUAGGCAGAGGGUGCCAAUGUGAUUAGCUGAAUUAUUUUGCGAGGGCUGCCAUAAGUCACCACAGACCGGGUCAUUUAAACAACAGAAAUGUAUUUUCUCACACUUCUGGAGACUAGACAUCCAAGAUCGGGGUGUCAGCAGAGUUGGUUUCUCAUGGAGCCUCUCUCAUUGGCUUGUAGAUGGCUUCCCCCUGUGUCUGCACAUUGUCUUCCCUCUAUGCAUGUUUGUGUCCUAAUUUCCUCUUAUAAGGAUCCUAGUCGUAUUAGUGAGGACCUCAUUUAACCUUAACCACCUCUGUAAAAUCCUUAUCUCCAAACAUAGUCAUGUUCUUAAGUACUGGAGGCUGGGAUUUCAACAUAUGAAUGUUUAAUGAUACAAUUCAGCACCUAACACCAGCCACCAAAAGUAUUGGAGGUGCUGAAUCUCUAAUGAGCUUCCCUGGGCAGAAAGGUUGUUCUUACAUUGCUGCAUUGUUACUGUUGGGGUGAGAGUGUGCUCUCUCGCGGAAGAAGAGAACAUAAGAGAACAUGGUGGAGUUUGGAGAAACUCCAAACUUUGUUCCUUGUUAUCAUAGUAUUCUUACUACAUCUUUGUGAUACAUCUUUGCUAUGAGUACAAGCACAAGGUCCAAUGAGUUCUUCUGGUGAGUCUCAGUCUUUGAAAGUGAAGGUAAUUUUUCUCCUGACCAGCCUUACCAUUCUCUCUCUCUCUCUCUCUCUCUCUGUCUCUCUCUCUCUCUGUCUCUCUCUUUCCCCUCACUCUCAAAAUAUAUUUUAUUGAGAGCAGUCUUAGUUUCUCAUACAAUAUACUUAAUAAUUACUACAAGUAGCAUAUUGGUUAACCGGGCAGGCUUUGGAACUAUGCUGCCUGGGUUUGAACCUGGUUCAAAUCCACAUGUGUAGGUUCAUGUGAGUGCUCACAUGUGUAGGUUUACCUGAUGGGGUUGGGGAGAAGGUGGUAUACCAAUAAUGGGCUGGUAGAUGUGUUCAGCCCCAGGUGCAAGCGAUAAAGGGUGCAAAGCAUUUUAAAACAAUCAUAAAACCCAGGUGAAAUGGUUUUGCUUUUAUUAUCACCAAGUGCCAGGAAUUCUAAAUAGUUUGGUGAUAAAAGACUCCUUCAAUGCAACAUUUGUCCUUCUGGGACUGGCUUAUUUCACUUAGCAUUAUGUCAAACACAGAGAAGCGGAGAGCAGAAUGAUAAUUGCCAGGAAAGUGGGAGAAGGAAGUGCUGAGUUGCCAUUCAAUUGGCAUAAAGUUUCCACUAUACAAGAUAAUUAUGUUCUAGAAAUCUGCUAUACAACAUUGUCCCUAUAGUUAACAAUAUCAUAUUGUACAUUGGUUUUGUUUAAAGGUUAGAUUUCAUGCUCAGUGUUAUUCCCACAAUAAAAAGAAAUCUCACCAAGUAAUUUUGGUACACAUUGAGAACCACUGAUCAAAACAAAAGGGUGAGCUACAACUGUCAGUGUGAUGCUUAUACUGCAUGUUCCAGUAACACUUUACUUGUGGUUAUUUUGCUAACAUUAUUCAUUAAAACUUUCUAAUGGUCCAAA
ensembl:lncRNA